CGACUAGGUUCCUUUCCUGAUUGUGCAGAGGGCUGUUGUCUGGGAUGGUGAUCUGUGGUAGUGUUAUUUUGGAGAUAGUGGAACUUUCAGAGCAAGAGGCAUGGCUGGCAAAAUUGGGUCAUCAUUGGCAGGCUUUUGAGGGACACAGUCUGGCUCUGCAUCUGACCCAAACUCUUUAUGUCCUGGUCUAUCAAGAUGUGAGAAGCGACUGCCUCACAAGGCCACCACCAUGGAUGGAGCUGAAGCCAUGGAUGGAAAUGCUGCCAUGAAUGGGGAUGUUGCCUUGGAUGGGAACGCUGCCAUGAUAGAGACACUGCCAUUAGUGGAAAAGCUACCAUGGGCGAAGCUGUCUUGACUGUCAUGCCUUUCUUGCUAUUAUGAACUUCAGCCCCUGAGACCAUAAUGAAAAAUAUGGACCCUUCCUGCCUCCAGUUGCUUCUGUCAUGUAUCUGGAUAAAGCAAUAAAAAAGUAGCUAAGGCCA